rnacentral:rRNA from 1 species
GGGUGUAGGAAACUUGAGAGGAGCUGUCCCUAGUACGAGAGGACCGGGAUGGACACACCUCUGGUGUCCCAGUUGUCGCGCCCGCGGCAUCGCUGGGUAGCUAUGUGUGGAAGGGAUAACCGCUGAAGGCAUCUAAGCGGGAAGCCCGCCUUGAAACGAGGUUUCCCUGAGAGCCGUGGCAGACCACCACGUUGAUAGGCCGGGUGUGGAAGCGCAGUAAUGCGUGAAGCUAACCGGUACUAAUCGCUCGAUUGGCUUGCGUUU